CAGUAGCCGCGGUAAAACGGAGGAUCCAAGCGUUAUCCGGAAUCAUUGGGUUUAAAGGGUCCGUAGGCGGUCUUGUAAGUCAGUGGUGAAAGCCCAUCGCUCAACGGUGGAACGGCCAUUGAUACUGCAGGACUUGAAUUAUUGGGAAGUAACUAGAAUAUGUAGUGUAGCGGUGAAAUGCUUAGAGAUUACAUGGAAUACCAAUUGCGAAGGCAGGUUACUACCAAUUGAUUGACGCUGAUGGACGAAAGCGUGGGUAGCGAACAGGAUUAGAUACCCCGGUAGUCCCUGUCUCUUAUAA
rnacentral:rRNA from 1 species